GCUCCGUUGGCCUAGUGGUUAGAGCGCAGGCCUCGGAUGUGGGAGGCCGCGAGUUCGAACCCCGGCCGAGUCA